GUUGUACUCCCUCCGUCCGGAAAUACUUGUCAUCAAAAUGAAUAAAAGGGAAUGUAUGUAGAUGUAUUUUAGUUCUAGAUACAUCCCUUUUUAUCCAUUUUGAUGACAAGUAUUUUCGGACGGAGUGAGUAAUUC
rfam:Triticum aestivum genome assembly, contig: Triticum_aestivum_CS42_TGACv1_scaffold_406648_5BL